CCAGAGUAUCAAUUGGAGGGCAAGUCUGGUGCCAGCAGCCGCGGUAAUUCCAGCUCCAAUAGCGUAUAUUAAAGUUGUUGCAGUUAAGAAGCUCGUAGUUGAAUUUCUGCCUUGUCAUUAAUCUCGCUUCCGAGCGUUUUUUUAUUGACUUGGCAUCUUCUGGAUUUGGUGCCUUCGGGUACUAUUUUCCAGGAUUUACUUUGAGAAAACUAGAGUGUUUCAAACAGGCAUUCGCCUUGAAUACUACAGCAUGGAAUAAUGAAGUAGGACUUUGGUUCUAUUUUGUUGGUUAUUGAGCCAGAGUAAUGGUUAAUAGGAGCAGUUGGGGGCAUUCGUAUUUAACUGUCAGAGGUGAAAUUCUUAGAUUUGUUAAAGACGAACUACUGCGAAAGCAUUUGCCAAGGAUGUUUUCAUUAAUCAAGAACGAAAGUUAGGGGAUCGAAGACGAUCAGAUACCGUCGUAGUCC
rnacentral:rRNA from 1 species